rnacentral:rRNA from 1 species
CCUACGGGUGGCUGCAGUGGGGAAUAUUGGGCAAUGGGCGUAAGCCUGACCCAGCAACGCCGCGUGAAGGAAGAAGGCCCUCGGGUUGUAAACUUCUUUUAUCAGGGACGAGACAAAUGACGGACCCUGAUGACUAAGCCACGGCUAACUACGGGCCAGCGGCCGCGGUAAUACGUAGGUGGCAGGCGUUAUCCGGAUUUACUGGGUGUAAAGGCCGUGUAGGCGGGACUGCAAGUCAGAUGUGAAAACCAUGGGCUCAACCCAUGGCCUGCAUUUGAAACUGUAGUUCUUGAGUGUUGGAGAGGCAGGCGGAAUUCCGUGUGUAGCGGUGAAAUGCGUAGAUAUACGGAGGAACACCAGUGGCGAAGGCGGCCUGCUGGACAAUAACUGACGCUGAGGCGCGAAAGCGUGGGGAGCAAACAGGAUUAGAUACCCCUGUAGUC